AUACGGAGGAUCCGAGCGUUAUCCGGAUUUAUUGGGUUUAAAGGGUGCGUAGGCGGCCUUUUAAGUCAGCGGUGAAAGUCUGUGGCUCAACCAUAGAAUUGCCGUUGAAACUGGGAGGCUUGAGUAUGUUUGAGGCAGGCGGAAUGCGUGGUGUAGCGGUGAAAUGCAUAGAUAUUACGCAGAACCCCGAUUGCGAAGGCAGCCUGCCAAGCCAUGACUGACGCUGAUGCACGAAAGCGUGGGGAUCAAACAGGAUUAGAUACCCUGGUAGUCCACGCAGUAAACGAUGAUCACUAGCUGUUUGCGAUACACUGUAAGCGGCACAGCGAAAGCGUUAAGUGAUCCACCUGGGGAGUACGCCGGCAACGGUGAAACUCAAAGGAAUUGACGGGG
rnacentral:rRNA from 1 species